CUGGACGUGGUGUAGCGGAAGCACGCGUGGUUUGGGACCACGCGGCGGAGGUUCGACUCCUCCCGUCUGGA
rnacentral:tRNA from 1 species